rnacentral:tRNA from 1 species
GGAGCGGUGGCCGAGUGGCUUAAGGCACCAGACUGAUAAUCUGACAAUCAAUCUUGACAGAACGGUUCAUGGGUUCGAAUCCCAUCCGCUCCG